NNNNNUUUUGUUCUUUAUAGUUUAACAACUAUAAUGAGGGACAUUGUCCCUCUCGUUGUUAAUCUAAUUUUUCCCGCCGGGAAUUCAGAGCUCUGGCUUGCUAUCUCUGAAUUCCACAGGUGUCCCUUGCCUGACACUACCUGCAAGGUGACGCCGAAC
rnacentral:snRNA from 1 species